UCCCCCGUGGCGCAAUUGGCUAGCGCGUCUGACUGUUACGCGUGCAAUCAGGAGGUUGGUGGUUCAAGCCCACCCGGAGGAG
rnacentral:tRNA from 1 species